rnacentral:sRNA from 1 species
GACCCGUCCCGGUGGGAGGGACCUGGGCUGGGGGGGACGGUGGGGGAACAAGGGGGUGGGACUGGGGAAGCUUCUGAGAACAUUUGCCCUAGGUAUUCAGCUAAACUAAGAAAAAUUGGUCCAAGGCUCGGCACAAAAGGAUCUUUUCAUUCCAGUCCUUUCGCCCACGCAGGGAACGAUGCCUCUGGAGGUGGUGGUGGAGCUGCAGAUCCGGGCGAUUUCUUGCCCAGGAGUGUUCCUGCCUGGCAAACAAGAUGUGUACCUCGGGGUCUACCUCAUGAAUCAGUACCUGGAGACAAACAGCUUUCCCUCUGCGUUCCCCAUUAUGAUUCAGGAGAGCAUGAGAUUUGAAAAGGUAUUUGAAAGUGCAGUAGAUCCUGGAGCUGUAGUAGACCUUUUGGAAAGCUUCCUAACCAGGUUUGAAUUAAUACAGCUAGUUCCUCCAGUGUGGGAUGAGUUGGCCUACUAUGAAGAAAACACACGAGAUUUUCUUUUCCCAGAGCCCAAGCUGACACCUUCGCACCCUAGGAGGUGUAGGGAGGUGCUCAUGAAGACGGCUCUGGGUUUUCCAGGCAUUGCUCCCAAAAUAGAGUUUUCUACAAGGACAGCCAUCAGAGAAUGUGUGUUUCUGCAUAGAAACAGAUUUCUUGUUGAUUCCAAAUCUUGGCUAUUGUGAAUAGUGCUGCAGUAAACAUGGGGCCACCUUUCUUUUGCUGAGGCUGAUGCUCAGAUUGUAUUCAUGGUCCAUCUUUGGAAGAAAGACAUGAGUCACGAAGGCCUUUAUCUACAUCACAUGAACCAAUAUUUCCCU